rfam:Ruminococcus sp. CAG:9-related_41_34 Ley3_66761_scaffold_7610, whole genome shotgun sequence.
UGCUCACAUUCAGAGACAGUUUCUGAAUGUUAAGCCAUACGGACAGGCGGGGCAGUUGCCGG